CAGAGUUGCAAAACUCCCAACCCUUGCUAAACAACCACUGUUUCUUCGGCGGGUGGCCUCCUGGCCGCGCGCACCCUCCUCGUGGGGGGACGCACCCCGCCGGAGCACACUAAACUCUUGUCAUUACUGAUGCUCUGAGUACAAGACAAAAUUAUUA
rnacentral:misc_RNA from 1 species